CUCUCCCCAAAGGUGGCCUUCGGCUUUUGACCCAUACAGAGAUUGAAUUUGAAAAGAAAGGAGAAUGUUCAUUGAACUGGUUUGGGACAUUUUGAGAAGUGGAGAACAACUAGAAGUUGGGCUCAUAAGUGAGUGCUAAUGGUCAUAUUGAACUCUGAUGACUCCUUUCAGACAUCUUUUGGAAACAGAAGUU